ACGGACCAGACUCCUACGGGAGGCAGCAGUGAGGAAUAUUGGUCAAUGGGCGCGAGCCUGAACCAGCCAAGUCGCGUGAGGGAUGACGGUCCUACGGAUUGUAAACCUCUUUUGCCGGGGAGCAAGCGUGCGUUCGUGAACGCGCGUCGAGAGUACCCGGAGAAAAAGCAUCGGCUAACUCCGUGCCAGCAGCCGCGGUAAUACGGAGGAUGCGAGCGUUAUCCGGAUUUAUUGGGUUUAAAGGGUGCGUAGGCGGGAUGCCAAGUCAGCGGUAAAAAUGCGGUGCUCAACGCCGUCGAGCCGUUGAAACUGGCGUUCUUGAGUGGGCGAGAAGUAUGCGGAAUGCGUGGUGUAGCGGUGAAAUGCAUAGAUAUCACGCAGAACUCCGAUUGCGAAGGCAGCAUACCGGCGCCCUACUGACGCUGAGGCACGAAAGCGUGGGUAUCGAACAGGAUUAGAUACCCUGGUAGUCCACGCAGUAAACGAUGAAUGCUAACUGUCCGGCUCGAAUGAGCGCUGG
rnacentral:rRNA from 1 species